rnacentral:rRNA from 1 species
GAUGAACGCUGGCGGCGUGCCUAAUACAUGCAAGUCGAGCGAACGGACGAGAAGCUUGCUUCUCUGAUGUUAGCGGCGGACGGGUGAGUAACACGUGGAUAACCUACCUAUAAGACUGGGAUAACUUCGGGAAACCGUAGCUAAUACCGGAUAAUAUUUUGAACCGCAUGGUUCAAAAGUGAAAGACGGUCUUGCUGUCACUUAUAGAUGGAUCCGCGCUGCAUUAGCUAGUUGGUAAGGUAACGGCUUACCAAGGCAACGAUGCAUAGCCGACCUGAGAGGGUGAUCGGCCACACUGGAACUGAGACACGGUCCAGACUCCUACGGGAGGCAGCAGUAGGGAAUCUUCCGCAAUGGGCGAAAGCCUGACGGAGCAACGCCGCGUGAGUGAUGAAGGUCUUCGGAUCGUAAAACUCUGUUAUUAGGGAAGAACAUAUGUGUAAGUAACUGUGCACAUCUUGACGGUACCUAAUCAGAAAGCCACGGCUAACUACGUGCCAGCAGCCGCGGUAAUACGUAGGUGGCAAGCGUUAUCCGGAAUUAUUGGGCGUAAAGCGCGCGUAGGCGGUUUUUUAAGUCUGAUGUGAAAGCCCACGGCUCAACCGUGGAGGGUCAUUGGAAACUGGAAAACUUGAGUGCAGAAGAGGAAAGUGGAAUUCCAUGUGUAGCGGUGAAAUGCGCAGAGAUAUGGAGGAACACCAGUGGCGAGGGCGACUUUCUGGUCUGUAACUGACGCUGAUGUGCGAAAGCGUGGGGAUCAAACAGGAUUAGAUACCCUGGUAGUCCACGCCGUAAACGAUGAGUGCUAAGUGUUAGGGGGUUUCCGCCCCUUAGUGCUGCAGCUAACGCAUUAAGCACUCCGCCUGGGGAGUACGACCGCAAGGUUGAAACUCAAAGGAAUUGACGGGGACCCGCACAAGCGGUGGAGCAUGUGGUUUAAUUCGAAGCAACGCGAAGAACCUUACCAAAUCUUGACAUCCUUUGACAACUCUAGAGAUAGAGCCUUCCCCUUCGGGGGACAAAGUGACAGGUGGUGCAUGGUUGUCGUCAGCUCGUGUCGUGAGAUGUUGGGUUAAGUCCCGCAACGAGCGCAACCCUUAAGCUUAGUUGCCAUCAUUAAGUUGGGCACUCUAAGUUGACUGCCGGUGACAAACCGGAGGAAGGUGGGGAUGACGUCAAAUCAUCAUGCCCCUUAUGAUUUGGGCUACACACGUGCUACAAUGGACAAUACAAAGGGCAGCGAAACCGCGAGGUCAAGCAAAUCCCAUAAAGUUGUUCUCAGUUCGGAUUGUAGUCUGCAACUCGACUACAUGAAGCUGGAAUCGCUAGUAAUCGUAGAUCAGCAUGCUACGGUGAAUACGUUCCCGGGUCU